UACGUAGGAGGCAAGCGUUGUCCGGAAUCACUGGGCGUAAAGGGUGCGUAGGCGGGUCUUUAAGUCAGGGGUGAAAUCCUGGAGCUCAACUCCAGAACUGCCUUUGAUACUGAGGAUCUUGAGUUCGGGAGAGGUGAGUGGAACUCCGAGUGUAGAGGUGAAAUUCGUAGAUAUUCGGAAGAACACCAGUGGCGAAGGCGACUCACUGGCCCGAUACUGACGCUGAGGCGCGAAAGCGUGGGGAGCAAAUAGG
rnacentral:rRNA from 1 species